rnacentral:rRNA from 1 species
UACGAAGGGUGCUAGCGUUGUUCGGAAUCACUGGGCGUAAAGCGCGCGUAGGCGGCUUGUCAAGUCAGGGGUGAAAUCCCACAGCUCAACUGUGGAACUGCCUUUGAAACUAGCAAGCUUGAGUGUCGGAGGGGAUAGCGGAAUUGCUAAUGUAGAGGUGAAAUUCGUAGAUAUUCGGAAGAACACCAGUGGCGAAGGCGACUUACUGGACACAUAUUGACGCUGAGGUGCGAAAGCGUGGGGAGCAAACAGG